UACGUAGGUCCCGAGCGUUGUCCGGAUUUAUUGGGCGUAAAGCGAGCGCAGGUGGUUUAUUAAGUCUGGUGUAAAAGGCAGUGGCUCAACCAUUGUAUGCAUUGGAAACUGGUAGACUUGAGUGCAGGAGAGGAGAGUGGAAUUCCAUGUGUAGCGGUGAAAUGCGUAGAUAUAUGGAGGAACACCGGUGGCGAAAGCGGCUCUCUGGCCUGUAACUGACACUGAGGCUCGAAAGCAUGGGUAGCGAACAGG
rnacentral:rRNA from 1 species